CCUUGUACACACCGCCCGUCGCACCUACCGAUUGAAUGAUUCGGUGAAAAUUCUGGACUGUGGCUCGGACGCCUUCGGGCGACCUUGCUAUGGGAAGUUAUUUAAACCUCAUCAUUUAGAGGAAGGUGAAGUCGUAACAAGGUUUCCGUAGGUGAACCUGCGGAAGGAUCAUUACCACACCCUCAAAUA
rnacentral:rRNA from 1 species